UCUGGACUGCAAGCACUGCACGUGCUGCUGGUGGAUGGGGCUGCUAUCCCAGCGCUCCUUCAGAUCAACUGAAUGUGCAGCUGCCCUGGCUGGUUAACAGGAGCUCCAAUUCAGUCAGACUAAUGUCGAUCUGGGAGUGCCGGUGGGUAGGAGGUUAACCCUGAGCACCUGUAGCGAGGGAGGGGAUGAGUGCAGGGCUGGAUCUGCUGCUCGGUCUGCCUUGGACUUCCCGAGCGAGGAAGCUGAGGAGCUUUGCCCUGCUCGCUCUGCUGAGGCUGAAAGGGUUAAGUGCUGAUGCUGUGCAACGUGCAGCACGGUCUCGGGUCUCGGUCUUGGAGCUGCCCAGUUUUCACGGUGUUGGAAGAAAAUGUUCCCUGAAUGACAGGCCUUGGGGGGUUAUGUGGUGGCUCUCCCUGCUGUCGGCUUCACUACAAAGACCUGAAUGACUCGCUGUGUCCUCAUGGGCACUUGCAUGCAUGUGAUGAAGGGCUCCUCUGGAUUCCUCUGAGCGGACUUCUGACUAGCACCUGCCUGAGCCCCGCCAGCCGCAGACACGAAGGGCAGAGGACUGGAGGGGUGGAGCAGGGAGGGAAGGAACCUGCCGUAACCCUGCCCGGCUCCAAAGAGCUCUGCUGCUGCAAGUGCCCUUCCCUCUGGCAUCCCCCUCUGCCGCCAUGGCUCAGUGCUUCUGCUGCCGCCGCCUGCGCCCAUGUUUCCUCUCGGAGGAGGAGAAAGCUGCAAUUCUGAUCGACAGAAGAAUCAACAAAACACUGAGGGAAGAGAAGAGACGAGACCAGCAAGAGCUGAAAUUGCUGCUUCUCGGGCCCAAGCAGGAUGCAGAAGCAGCAAAGCAAUUUAUCCUGGACAUGUAUGUGGAUACCUACAUGCAGUGCUCAGCUCCCGUCAGCAGCACCAGGUUGGGACUCCUGCAAACCGUCCCCACAUCCGGAUGCCUUUGCUGCCGUUACUGCGCUACUGACACACACAACAUCCACAAAGUCUUCAGGGAUGUCAGAGAGGUGAUACUGGUUGCCUGCUGGGAAGAUGUCAGUCUUCCGUGACAGACAUAGCCUGACCUGUCAAACUUCGAGCUGGCUGUCGGAUGGUCAGCUGCGGCUGGUGUCCAGCGUAGUGCUCCGCGCGCCCCUUCUGCUGUGUGUGGAUGGGAGCUGUGGGGGCCUUCCGUGGGUGGUGCGUGAGGGGAACCUCUCUGCGGCUAUCAGCAGAGUGUUUUCCGGAUGGUGCCUUCCAGGGAGCCCCUCCUGACGCUGCCUCUGCUCGCAUCCCCUCUCUGCAGGUAGGCUAAUCCUGCCUGCUUUUCUGCCAGGUAGGCAAGCAAUCCAGGCCUUGGCAAUAAAGGGAGGUUGGUGCCAAAAUAGCUCAUGCACCUUUCUCGAGCAGUGA